rnacentral:rRNA from 1 species
UUCCGGUUGAUCCUGCCGGAGGCCAUUGCUAUUGGGAUCCGAUUUAGCCAUGCUAGUCGUACGAGUUCACACUCGUGGCGAAUAGCUCAGUAACACGUGGCCAAACUACCCUUCGGAGUACAAUACCCUCGGGAAACUGAGGCUAAUAGUACAUACCAUACCACCACUGGAAUGAGUGAUAUGCCAAACGCUCCGGCGCCGAAGGAUGUGGCUGCGGCCGAUUAGGUAGACGGUGGGGUAACGGCCCACCGUGCCAAUAAUCGGUAUGGGUCAUGAGAGUGAGAACCCAGAGACGGAAUCUGAGACAAGAUUCCGGGCCCUACGGGGCGCAGCAGGCGCGAAACCUUUACACUGCACGACAGUGCGAUAGGGGGAUCCCAAGUGCACAGGCAUAGCGCCUGUGCUUUUCGGUACCCUAAGGCGGUACCAGAAUAAGGGCUGGGCAAGACCGGUGCCAGCCGCCGCGGUAAUACCGGCAGCCCAAGUGAUGGCCGAUCUUAUUGGGCCUAAAGCGUCCGUAGCUGGCCACGCAAGUCCAUCGGGAAAUCCACCUGCCCAACAGGUGGACGCCCGGUAGAAACUGCGUGGCUUGGGACCGGAAGGCGCGACGGGUACGUCCGGGGUAGGAGUGAAAUCCCGUAAUCCUGGACGGACCGCCGAUGGCGAAGCACGUCGCGAGAACGGAUCCGACAGUGAGGGACGAAAGCCAGGGUCUCGAACCGGAUUAGAUACCCGGGUAGUCCUGGCCGUAAACAAUGUCUGCUAGGUGUGGCUCCCACUACGAGUGGGUGCUGUGCCGCAGGGAAGCCGCUAAGCAGACCGCCUGGGAAGUACGUCCGCAAGGAUGAAACUUAAAGGAAUGGCGGGGAGCAGACUCAGAGUCCCCGUCGUAUGCC